UACAGAGGGGGCAAGCGUUGUUCGGAAUUACUGGGCGUAAAGGGCGCGUAGGCGGCCUUCUAAGUCGAACGUGAAAUCCCCGGGCUCAACCCGGGAACUGCGUCCGAUACUGGAAGGCUUGAAUCCGGGAGAGGGAUGCGGAAUUCCCGGUGUAGCGGUGAAAUGCGCAGAUAUCGGGAGGAACACCGGUGGCGAAGGCGGUUCUCUGGGCCUGUACUGACGCUGAGGAGCGAAAGCGUGGGGAGCGAACAGG
rnacentral:rRNA from 1 species